UACGGGGGGGGCAAGCGUUGUUCGGAAUUACUGGGCGUAAAGGGCUCGUAGGCGGCCAACUAAGUCAGACGUGAAAUCCCUCGGCUUAACCGGGGAACUGCGUCUGAUACUGGAUGGCUUGAGUUCGGGAGAGGGAUGCGGAAUUCCAGGUGUAGCGGUGAAAUGCGUAGAGACCGGGAAGAACACCAGUGGCGAAGGCGGCUACCUGGACAGGUACUGACGCUGAAGCGCGAAAGCUAGGGGAGCAAACAGG
rnacentral:rRNA from 1 species